rnacentral:rRNA from 1 species
ACGGAACCGGCCCUGGGUCUCGCUCUAGCCCGCCACUCCCGACAAAUCCUCGCCUCUCCAUCUUUCGUCUCCUCUCCCUCCCUCGUCCCUCCAUCUCUCGAUCUGAAGAGGCGGCGGCCGAUGGCCUGCUCUGCGGUGGCGGCGGCGUUCCUAGGACCCGUUCCGGCAGCGGCCUGAUCUGCUGGGGCGCAGCACCGGCGACCUGAUCUGCUGGUGCGCACCGGCCUGAUCUGCGCCGGGGGGAGGAGGCGGUGGCACCGGCGGCCUAGUCUGCUGGGGGCUGCGGCGACCAGGCCUGUUGGGGGCUGCCGUAGUGCUGCCGUAGCAUCUUCUCUGUAGAUUGCUUUUUCUCGAGUUAGCGAUGAUAUGCAUCUUCUUUUUCUUGUUGGAGGCACAUGAGCGGUAGCAGAUCAUAGCUUCCAUAUAUUCUUAGUUCUUCUGUGUAAAUUGCUUCUUUUUGUUUGUAGAAAUGUAUUCGUAUGAUAUGUUUGAUUUCAUGUAUCUCAGUAUCUGCCAUGCUUGUGUAUAAAUGUUAUCAAAAUGACCAAAUUCGUUUUAUUGCGUCUCACCAAACACUCAAAUGUAACCAUUCCAUUCCAUCUAUUGCCUCAACCAAACAUAAGAACGGAACCGACCCAUUCUAGUGGAAUAGAAUGUCAUGGAACCAUGACAUUUCAUUCCAUUUCGUUUCACGAUCAAACACACUCUAAAUAGUUUUCAAUAGGAAGGUAGUACAAAAAGAAUCUCUAUCCUUGAUUGCAUGCACUCACAUUUCUCCUUCUCCAAUCCCAUCGUUUGAUUUUAUUCUGGUGCAAUAAGAUUUAGUUGUUUUUUAUUACACCAUUGAUUAUUUAGUUGCUGCUAACUACCUAAUUCUUCAAGGGCAUUUUCGUCCAAAAUCCUCCUUAAUUCUGUGCCUUGGUCACCACGCCCCAAAAAAUACAACUUAUAUAAAGAAACGAAGAGAGUAUAACAAUAAAUUUACAGUCCAUAAAUGAAUUAUUUGUUAUGAUAUCGGUUAGACCUCUUUCAUAACUAAAUAAAUAAAAAUAAAUCCCC